rnacentral:rRNA from 1 species
UACAGAGGUCCCAAGCGUUGUUCGGAUUCACUGGGCGUAAAGGGUGCGUAGGCGGUCGGGUAAGUCUGAUGUGAAAUCUCACAGCUUAACUGCGAAACUGCAUUGGAUACUAUCCGGCUAGAGGAAUGGAGGGGAGACUGGAAUACUUGGUGUAGCAGUGAAAUGCGUAGAUAUCAAGUGGAACACCAGUGGCGAAGGCGAGUCUCUGGACAGUUCCUGACGCUGAGGCACGAAGGCCAGGGGAGCAAACGGG